CCUACGGGUGGCUGCAGUGGGGAAUAUUGGACAAUGGGCGAAAGCCUGAUCCAGCCAUGCCGCGUGUGUGAAGAAGGCCUUCGGGUUGUAAAGCACUUUCAGUGGGGAAGAAAGCCUUGGGGCUAAUACCCUCGAGGAAGGACAUCACCCACAGAAGAAGCACCGGCUAACUCCGUGCCAGCAGCCGCGGUAAUACGGAGGGUGCGAGCGUUAAUCGGAAUUACUGGGCGUAAAGCGCGCGUAGGCGGUCUGAUAAGCCGGUUGUGAAAGCCCCGGGCUCAACCUGGGAACGGCAUCCGGUACUGUCAGGCUAGAGUGCAGGAGAGGAAGGUAGAAUUCCCGGUGUAGCGGUGAAAUGCGUAGAGAUCGGGAGGAAUACCAGUGGCGAAGGCGGCCUUCUGGACUGACACUGACGCUGAGGUGCGAAAGCGUGGGUAGCAAACAGGAUUAGAUACCCUGUAGUC
rnacentral:rRNA from 1 species